rnacentral:rRNA from 1 species
CCUACGGGAGGCAGCAGUGAGGAAUAUUGGUCAAUGGACGAGAGUCUGAACCAGCCAAGUAGCGUGAAGGAUGACUGCCCUAUGGGUUGUAAACUUCUUUUAUAAAGGAAUAAAACGAGGCACGUGUGCCUUUUUGCAUGUACUUUAUGAAUAAGGAUCGGCUAACUCCGUGCAAGCAGCCGCGGUAAUACGGAGGAUCCGAGCGUUAUCCGGAUUUACUGGGUUUAAAGGGAGCGUAGAUGGGUUGUUAAGUCAGUUGUGAAAGUUUGCGGCUCAACCGUAAAAUUGCAAUUGAUACUGGCAGUCUUGAGUACAGUUGAGGUAGGCGGAAUUUGUGGUGUAGCGGUGAAAUGCUUAGAUAUCACGAAGAACCCCGAUUGCGAAGGCAGCUUACUAAACUGUGACUGACAUUGAUGCUCGAAAGUGUGGGUAUCAAACAGGAUUAGAUACCCCUGUAGUC